rnacentral:rRNA from 1 species
GUAGGGAAUCUUCCACAAUGGGCGCAAGCCUGAUGGAGCAACACCGCGUGAGUGAAGAAGGGUUUCGGCUCGUAAAGCUCUGUUGUUAAAGAAGAACACGUAUGAGAGUAACUGUUCAUACGUUGACGGUAUUUAACCAGAAAGUCACGGCUAACUACGUGCCAGCAGCCGCGGUAAUACGUAGGUGGCAAGCGUUAUCCGGAUUUAUUGGGCGUAAAGAGAGUGCAGGCGGUUUUCUAAGUCUGAUGUGAAAGCCUUCGGCUUAACCGGAGAAGUGCAUCGGAAACUGGAUAACUUGAGUGCAGAAGAGGGUAGUGGAACUCCAUGUGUAGCGGUGGAAUGCGUAGAUAUAUGGAAGAACACCAGUGGCGAAGGCGGCUACCUGGUCUGCAACUGACGCUGAGACUCGAAAGCAUGGGUAGCGAACAGGAUUAGAAACCCUAGUAGUCC